CUGCCACCAUGUCUCUAGUGAUCCCUGAAAAGUUCCAGGAUAUUUUGCGAGUACUCAACACCAACAUUGAUGGCCGGCGGAAAAUAGCCUUUGCCAUCACUACCAUUAAGGGCGUGGACCGAAGACACGCUCAUGUGGUGUUGAGGAAAGCAGACAUUGCCUUCACCAAGAGGGCAGGAGAACUCACUGAGGAUGAGGUGGAACGUGUGAUCACCAUUAUGCAGAAUCCACGCCAGUACAAGAUCCCAGACUGGUUCUUGAACAGACAGGGAUAUAAAGGACGGAAAAUAUAACCAGGUCCUAGCCAAUGGUCUGGACAACAAGCUCUGUGAAGACCUGGAGCAACUGAAGAAGAUUCGGGCCCAUAGAGGGCUACACCACUUCUGGGGCCUUCGUGUCUGAGGCCAGCAAACCAAGACUACUGGCCGCCAUGGCCGCACCGUGGGUGUGUCCAAGAAGAAAUAAGUCUGUAGGCCUUGUCUGUUAAUAAAUAGCUUAUAUACC